rnacentral:rRNA from 1 species
GAUGAACGCUGGCGGCGUGCCUAAUACAUGCAAGUCGAGCGAACAGACGAGAGUGCUUGCACUCUCUGACGUUAGCGGCGGACGGGUGAGUAACACGUGGGUAACCUACCUAUAAGACUGGGAUAACUUCGGGAAACCGGAGCUAAUACCGGAUAAUAUUUAGCUUCGCAUGAAGCAAUAGUGAAAGACGGUUCUGCUGUCACUUAUAGAUGGACCCGCGGUGUAUUAGCUAGUUGGUGAGGUAACGGCUCACCAAGGCAACGAUACAUAGCCGACCUGAGAGGGUGAUCGGCCACACUGGGACUGAGACACGGCCCAGACUCCUAUGGGAGGCAGCAGUAGGGAAUCUUCCGCAAUGGACGAAAGUCUGACGGAGCAAUGCCGCGUGAGUGAAGAAGGUUUUCGGAUCGUAAAACUCUGUUGUAAGGGAAGAACAAGUACGUUAGUAACUGAACGUACCUUGACGGUACCUUACCAGAAAGCCACGGCUAACUACGUG